AACGAACGCUGGCGGCAUGCCUAACACAUGCAAGUCGAACGAGACCUUCGGGUCUAGUGGCGCACGGGUGCGUAACGCGUGGGAAUCUGCCCUUGGGUUCGGAAUAACAGUUGGAAACGACUGCUAAUACCGGAUGAUGACGUAAGUCCAAAGAUUUAUCGCCCAAGGAUGAGCCCGCGUAGGAUUAGCUAGUUGGUGAGGUAAAGGCUCACCAAGGCGACGAUCCUUAGCUGGUCUGAGAGGAUGAUCAGCCACACUGGGACUGAGACACGGCCCAGACUCCCACAGGAGGCAGCAGUGGGGUAUAUUGGACACGGGGCGGAAGCCUGAUAAAGCAAGGCCGCGGGAGUGAUGAAGGCCUUAGGGUUGUAAAGCGCUUUUACCCGGGAUGAUAAUGACAGUACCGGGAGAAUAAGCACCGGCUAACUCCGUG
rnacentral:rRNA from 1 species